AGCAGAACUGCAGCCAAGAAACUCUCAAAAGCUGCUUCCAGUGCCUGCUGGGAUUCCAAGGCUGGUUUUGUUCUUCCCCUGCUGGAACUUGCUGCUCCAAAGACAAGGGGGAAGCUGGACUCAGCUAAUUACAUUGGAGGAUUAAUUACAUUGCCACAGUCUCCAUGUGAUACUGGAUUGAUUUUUAAUUUUUUUUAUUUUUUUAAGCACAACAGAACAGGGUUUUUUCCUCCCCUCUUCUCUUUCAUCUCUUUCUGCACACACGCACAGGGGAGAUGUUGCAAACAGUCUGCAUGAGCCCUGAGCUGCUUGUCAACCAAAACAUGAGUGAGAGUGAAAUCUGUGGCUACAGCCCAGGCCAGGGAUCUCCCCUGCCUGCAGAAACUGCCAGCCCCAAGAGCUGCUUCCAGCAGAGCCCAUCUCUGCCAGACUCUGGAUUAACCGAGCUGAACGUGGCGAGUCCCAAGAUCUACCACCCUCCUCCUCCUCCUCCUCCAUGCCACCCUCCAGGGAUGCCUGCUCCUGCUGACUCUGAACUUAGCUCUGAUCCCCCUCAGAAGCGCUACAUGGGUGUGAGAGUGAAGAUGCCAGUGCGGGAAUUGCUGAGGAAAAUCCGACUUUCCAAAGGCUUGGACCCAGCUCCAGGCAAGGAAGCCUCGUCAGUGAAGAUGGCAGCCAAAGGAUCCUCAGGAAAAACAGCAGAGAAGAGGAGAUCUCACCCUUAUACAGAGAAACAGCUUAGACAGAGCAAGCAGAGCGCUGGGCAAAGCCCCAAAGGCUUGGAGGACCUCGACAUCCUGGUGGAGGUGCUGCAGGAGGAUCUGAACCAGAGCCAGCUCGGGGAGGAGCCCCGGCAGCCCGUGCCAGACGGGUUCGGGCAGGGAUUCUCCCGGGAGCUGCAGAGCUGCCGCUGGCAGAGCGUGGGGAGCAAGGAGGCAGCUGGGAGCCUGCAGGGCCCAGCAGAGCCUCAGCCCCAGCCCUGGGGGAGAGAUUUCCACCCCAUCCUGCGGGGACAGGCAGAGCCUUCCUUCCAUGGCCAGCAGGAGAGCAUCCAGAGGUCCGGCUCGCCUGGAAUGUUCUCCAGGACGGGCGAGGGAGGGAGCAGCUGGUGGGUGCAGGAUGGUCCCUUGAGCUCCCAGGAAGGUUCCUCGAGGAAUUCUGCAUCCCAGGAAGGUUUCCCGAGGAAUUCUCCAUCCCAGGAAGUUUUCUCGAGGAAUUCUGCACCACAGGAAUGUCUCCUGAGGAACUCUCCAUCCCAGGAAUGUUUCUUGAGGAACUCUCCAUCCCAGGAAUAUCUCCUGAGGAAUUCUGCACCCCACGAAGGUUUCCCGAGGAAUUCUCCAUCCCAGGAAUAUCCCCUGAGGAAUUUUGCACCCCAGGAAUGUCCCCUGAGGAAUUCUCCAUCCCACAAAGGUUUGCUGAGGAAUUCUGCACCCCAGGAAUGUUUCUUGAGGAAUUCUCCAUCCCAGGAAUGUCUCCUGAGGAAUUCUGCACCCCAGGAAUGUCUCCUGAGGAAUUCUCCAUCCCAGGAAUGUUUCUUGAGGAACUCUCCAUCCCAGGAAGGUCUCCUGAGGAAUUCUGCACCCUACGAAGGUUUCCCAAGGAAUUCUCCAUCCAAGGAAUGUUUCUUGAGGAAUUCUGCACCCCAGGAAUGUUUCUUGAGGAAUUCUCCAUCCCAGGAAUGUCUCCUGAGGAAUUCUGCACCCCAGGAAUGUCUCCUGAGGAACUCUCCAUCCCAGGAAUGUCCCCUGAGGAUUUCUACAUCCCAGGACACGCCUGCACUCCCCAGGCUGGCAGAGCUGCUGCUGGAAGCUCCCAGGGGCUCUCCAGAUGUGGAGGGACACUUGAGGCUGACCCCAAACUCCUUCCCCAGGCAGGACCUCUCUGCCCUCUCCUUCUUCCAGUUCCAGCUGCGCAGGGAGGAAAAUCUGCUGAGGAACAUCCCAGAGGAAAAACUGCUGGCUCCUGAUGAAAAUGGCAACAGGCUGCUGCACAAGGCUGUUGCCCAGGGAAGGAGGGCUCUGACUUUUGCCCUGGCCCAGAGAUUUGCAUCCCUCAACAAGAUCGACGAGAAGGAUGCAGAGAAAAGGACUGCUUUACAUCUUGCUGCAGAAAAGAAGCAGCACCUGAUGGUGAGUGACCUGAUCUCCCUGGGAGCCAACGUCAACCAGCAGGACAGCUCUGGCAAAACUCCCCUGCACCUGUGUGCAGAGCACGGCUACCUGAGAGUUCUGCAGGUCCUGAAAAGCUGCAAGAACAACGGGGUGUGUGUGGAAGUGGAUCUGCCUGACCACCACGGUCUGACCCCCCUGCACUGUGCUGCCCUUGCCCACACCGUGCUGGUGGCAGAAUCCCAGAGCUCUGCCAGGGACAGCAGCACCGGGAGGUUCCUGAGGCUCCGCAGAGCCCAGAUCCUGGAGGGAAUCCUGUGCCUGCUCCAGAUGGGAGCAAAGCCCCAGCUGCAGGUUCUGAACUCGUGUCAAGCCUCCACCCCCUGCCUCAAGCUGGAGGAGAACACAGAGCUCAUGAGUUUGCUUCAGACUCAUCAACCCCAGGCACAGGAUGUUCCUCAGGAGAGCUGCAGCCUGCUGGAUGCUCCCAGAGGAAUCCCCACUCCCCCAGCUGCAGAUACCUUACCUGGCCUCAGCUCCUUGCCAUCCUCAGACCUCCUCGACGUCCUCCUCGAAGGUAUUUUAUGGUAGGAAGUGGAGUUCAGGUAGCUGGGGGUGUGUGUGGCUCCAUCCAGCCCCAUCCCACAGAACCAUUCAGGGUGGGAAAACCCCAAAACCACCGAGUUCAAACCUCCACAGCGUGGAGCUGCUGGAGAAGGUGCUCAGCACCUCAUCCCAACCCUUGGACCAGCUCAUUCUCCUGGCAAACCUCCUUCCUCAGCCAGAGCUAGCCAGGAAAGGAGGGGAUUUAUUUAUCCCUGCUUUAGCAGAUAUCUUACCUGGCCUCUGCUCCUUGCCAUCCUCAGACAUCCUCGACGUCCUCCUCGAAGGGAAAUGCUGAGAGCUCUCAUCCCCUGCACCUGCUGGGCCACCUGCUGCAGAGCACACACACCAAAACACAGAAUAUUUUACAUCAUGUCUUGAACUGACUGCUGGAAGAUCCCACCUGGACCCAGAGUUAAAGAGCAAAUGAUAAAUGAGGGAAAGCCUCACUCAGUGCAGGUGGCACCAGGAAUGCAGUGCUGGGUGCUCCAGGAAGAAUUGCACCUUCAUUUUCUCACAGAUUUGUGUUUUUCUGCUCAGGUCUGAGGUCAGUCUGAAGCUCUGAUGAUUUUUCAUGCAGGUGUUCAGCCCAAGAAAAAGAUUUGAACCAUCCAGGGUCCACUCUUGGGGGUUUCAGCCUAAAAUUAAUCGAUACACUCCAAAUCCAACAUUCAGACUGAAAAUCUCAGUCGUUUUAAACAUUAGCUGUGGGAAUUCAGAGCACAAAUAUUAAAAAUAUUUAAUAUUUUCUGCAGUCUGGCUCUGAACGUGGCCAAGGCUGGAGUGGUCACACUUUAGGGCAGUCUCACAGUGAAGUCCUUCCAAACUAAAGCAUCGUGCUGAGCAUGUUCCUUCAGCAAAAACCAAACUUUGUAUUGAUGCAAUCAGAAUUUUGCACCCGUAGUGGAUUGUAGGUGAAGUCUGGGAUAAAAUGUUUCAAGUCAGCUCCUUUCCAUCAGCUCUAACAGAGGAUUUUACCUUUGUAAAAUUGAAACCUAGGACAACAGCUUUUAAGGAUCUUUUUUUUUUAAAUAAAUUUGGGAGCAUAGGAAGGAGCUGAAAUGAUCCUGUACUGCCAGAAAACCAAGUUAUUCAGUAGAAUUAUUACAAACCAGAUCAUUUUUAUUUUUAAUUCUCUCUUCCCAGACUAACCCUCGUUGAAUUUUAACUUCUGGUUGCGAGUUUGCUGGUUUCUAUGAAACUUCCCUGUUUGCUACAUAGGGAGCAAUUCUACUUUUACAGAACCUAAAACCAACCCAAAACCUGACCCAGCAGCCCCUCACGUGUCUCCUGUGGAGGAAAACAGGAGAUUUCCACAUGAAACCACUGCAGGAUCCAGUGAUCAGUACUCAGCAUCUUUGGGGAAUGUUUUUCAUGAACCCUUUUCAUUUGUUUCUUGUUAAAAAAAACAAAAAAAAAAAGGUUCUUUUUAUGUUAUGGGGUUUCCUUAAGUGUUAAGCUCCAAGAGCUACGUUGCACAAGGUGAAUUCACUUUGAGAAGUGAAUUCCAAUGGGAUUUGGGUCAUAUCCUAUGAUUCUGAUGCCCUGGACAACUCAAGAGUUCUCUUUUGUAUUUCCUCUAGUGUGAGUGAGGCAUAAUAAUUCAUAAUCUUUCAGUAUUUCAUUUAAAAAUAUAUAUAUAUUAUAUGUUAUUCUCAUGAGGAGUUGCAUAACUCAUCCACUUCCUUCCAAAGCCUUCCCUCAUGUUUUAACAAUCUUUGGUAUUUCCUUUUUCCCUUUUUGUCCCAGGUUUUGUGGAUAUUUCUCCUCUCUGGAUGUUUCUCUCUGUCCCUCCACCACUGCCCACCCUUCUGUCUGUUUGCAUUUUAACUCCCAUCUCUUCCCACUGAACUUUUUAUUCAUUUGGGGACAAUGAAGGGACAACUUCUGGGUUAGCUCAGCAUCCAUUUGUGGGAUUGAAGGGUCAGACCCAGCUCUGGAUUUUCAUUAUAAACCAGCCAAGAGCUCCCACAUCACGAGGAUGAGGCAGAGUGUUGAGCAAAGAGAAGAGCAGCCAUAAAAGGAAAAAAAAACCCUGAAAUUUCUCAAAGGAUUUCUUAAAAAACCUGAAUUUUCUCACGGGAUUUCUUAAAAAAACCUGAAUUUUCUCACAGGAUUUCUUAAAACCCUGAAUUUUCUCACGGGAUUUCUUAAAAAAACCUGAAUUUUCUCUUUAAAAAGUGUAGAAAACUCUCAUUUAAUAACCCAGCAUUAAUCUUUUAGUCAUGGGAACCAUCCAGGUGAAAGGAUAAGAGGAUUCAACUAUUCCUACAGGCAUCAUUUAUUCAAUAUACUCAGAGAUGAGCUUGCUCCUACAGUAUAUUCUACCACAGUUAUCCACUAAUUGCAUUGUUAAUUGCUUUACAUUGCUCCACUGCUCCUUCCUGUCAAUAAAUACAUUUAUUCCAUGCAGUAA